CUUCGGAUACCCGAACUCCCUUCGAGUCCGAUUUGUUGGUGCAUGUCAAAAAAAAAACAAAAACAAUUUGCAUGGGCUUCGUUUAUUGAAGUCCGAAACAAACUAAGAAACGCAACUGUCCGAAAAUUAGAGAGAGAUGGUGAUAGAGCGAAAGAAGGGGGAAAGAAAUGUUCGGUCUUCGGCUUUCGGUUUCGUCUUGCUUCUUCUUAUUCCCUUUGCAUUACAAGUUGAAGUGUUCUCCACUGCAGAAGUGUCGUGUGUUAAAAAUAUUAAGAAAUCAAAUAAUUCAAUAAUUACGUUCCGGGCCAUAUUGAAAUAUAAAAAAAGACUGCAGUAAUGGCCAAUAUAUUGGAUGCAAUUUCCCAAGUGACUAAAACUGAGCCUCCAGAGAAGAUACUGCGCAAUAAAUUUGGUCUUCAUGAAUAAAAAGCGGAACACCAAGAAUCAAAAAGACCUUCAGGCCUCUUAAUAUAUGGAUGCUUAAUCUUAAUUUUUUAUAUUUGUGUUUUAGUUUUGUUAUAGAAUUAGUUAGAAUAAAUAAUAUUAAUAAAAA